rnacentral:rRNA from 1 species
AUAAUGGGUCAGCGACUUAUAUUCUGUAGCAAGGUUAACCGAAUAGGGGAGCCGAAGGGAAACCGAGUCUUAACUGGGCGUUAAGUUGCAGGGUAUAGACCCGAAACCCGGUGAUCUAGCCAUGGGCAGGUUGAAGGUUGGGUAACACUAACUGGAGGACCGAACCGACUAAUGUUGAAAAAUUAGCGGAUGACUUGUGGCUGGGGGUGAAAGGCCAAUCAAACCGGGAGAUAGCUGGUUCUCCCCGAAAGCUAUUUAGGUAGCGCCUCGUGAAUUCAUCUCCGGGGGUAGAGCACUGUUUCGGCAAGGGGGUCAUCCCGACUUACCAACCCGAUGCAAACUGCGAAUACCGGAGAAUGUUAUCACGGGAGACACACGGCGGGUGCUAACGUCCGUCGUGAAGAGGGAAACAACCCAGACCGCCAGCUAAGGUCCCAAAGUCAUGGUUAAGUGGGAAACGAUGUGGGAAGGCCCAGACAGCCAGGAUGUUGGCUUAGAAGCAGCCAUCAUUUAAAGAAAGCGUAAUAGCUCACUGGUCGAGUCGGCCUGCGCGGAAGAUGUAACGGGGCUAAACCAUGCACCGAAGCUGCGGCAGCGACGCUUAUGCGUUGUUGGGUAGGGGAGCGUUCUGUAAGCCUGCGAAGGUGUGCUGUGAGGCAUGCUGGAGGUAUCAGAAGUGCGAAUGCUGACAUAAGUAACGAUAAAGCGGGUGAAAAGCCCGCUCGCCGGAAGACCAAGGGUUCCUGUCCAACGUUAAUCGGGGCAGGGUGAGUCGACCCCUAAGGCGAGGCCGAAAGGCGUAGUCGAUGGGAAACAGGUUAAUAUUCCUGUACUUGGUGUUACUGCGAAGGGGGGACGGAGAAGGCUAUGUUGGCCGGGCGACGGUUGUCCCGGUUUAAGCGUGUAGGCUGGUUUUCCAGGCAAAUCCGGAAAAUCAAGGCUGAGGCGUGAUGACGAGGCACUACGGUGCUGAAGCAACAAAUGCCCUGCUUCCAGGAAAAGCCUCUAAGCAUCAGGUAACAUCAAAUCGUACCCCAAACCGACACAGGUGGUCAGGUAGAGAAUACCAAGGCGCUUGAGAGAACUCGGGUGAAGGAACUAGGCAAAAUGGUGCCGUAACUUCGGGAGAAGGCACGCUGAUAUGUAGGUGAAGCGACUUGCUCGUGGAGCUGAAAUCAGUCGAAGAUACCAGCUGGCUGCAACUGUUUAUUAAAAACACAGCACUGUGCAAACACGAAAGUGGACGUAUACGGUGUGACGCCUGCCCGGUGCCGGAAGGUUAAUUGAUGGGGUUAGCGCAAGCGAAGCUCUUGAUCGAAGCCCCGGUAAACGGCGGCCGUAACUAUAACGGUCCUAAGGUAGCGAAAUUCCUUGUCGGGUAAGUUCCGACCUGCACGAAUGGCGUAAUGAUGGCCAGGCUGUCUCCACCCGAGACUCAGUGAAAUUGAACUCGCUGUGAAGAUGCAGUGUACCCGCGGCAAGACGGAAAGACCCCGUGAACCUUUACUAUAGCUUGACACUGAACAUUGAGCCUUGAUGUGUAGGAUAGGUGGGAGGCUUUGAAGUGUGGACGCCAGUCUGCAUGGAGCCGACCUUGAAAUACCACCCUUUAAUGUUUGAUGUUCUAACGUUGACCCGU